UGGGGAAUAUUGGACAAUGGGCGAAAGCCUGAUCCAGCCAUGCCGCGUGUGUGAAGAAGGUCUUCGGAUUGUAAAGCACUUUAAGUUGGGAGGAAGGGCAGUAAGCGAAUACCUUGCUGUUUUGACGUUACCGACAGAAUAAGCACCGGCUAACUCUGUGCCAGCAGCCGCGGUAAUACAGAGGGUGCAAGCGUUAAUCGGAAUUACUGGGCGUAAAGCGCGCGUAGGUGGUUCGUUAAGUUGAAUGUGAAAGCCCCGGGCUCAACCUGGGAACUGCAUCCAAAACUGGCGGGCUAGAGUAGGGCAGAGGGUGGUGGAAUUUCCUGUGUAGCGGUGAAAUGCGUAGAUAUAGGAAGGAACACCAGUGGCGAAGGCGACCACCUGGGCUGAUACUGACACUGAGGUGCGAAAGCGUGGGGAGCAAACAGG
rnacentral:rRNA from 1 species